rnacentral:piRNA from 1 species
UGGUCAAGGUUCGCAGGGUUUAGGUGUC